GAUGAACGCUGGCGGCGUGCCUAAUACAUGCAAGUCGAGCGAACAGACGAGGAGCUUGCUCCUUUGACGUUAGCGGCGGACGGGUGAGUAACACGUGGGUAACCUACCUAUAAGACUGGGAUAACUUCGGGAAACCGGAGCUAAUACCGGAUAAUAUUUCGAACCGCAUGGUUCGAUAGUGAAAGAUGGCUCUGCUAUCACUUAUAGAUGGACCUGCGCCGUAUUAGCUAGUUGGUAAGGUAACGGCUUACCAAGGCAACGAUACGUAGCCGACCUGAGAGGGGGAUCGGCCACACUGGAACUGAGACACGGUCCAGACUCCUACGGGGGGCAGCAGUAGGGAAUCUUCCGCAAUGGGCGAAAGCCUGACGGAGCAACGCCGCGUGAGUGAUGAAGGUCUUCGGAUCGUAAAACUCUGUUAUUAGGGAAGAACAAACGUGUAAGUAACUGUGCACGUCUUGACGGUACCUAAUCAGAAAGCCACGGCUAACUACGUGCCAGCCGCCGCAGUAA
rnacentral:rRNA from 1 species